GGACUUUUGAGUUAACACUGAAAUGAAUUAAUGCUGAAAUGAAUUAAGACUUUGGGAGACGGUUGAGAAGCCAUGACUCAUUUUAAAAUGUGAGACAUGCCUUUCACCUUCUGCCAUGAUUGUGAGGCCUCUCCAGCCAUGUGGAACUGUGAACACACAGUGUUCAUCCCCUCAGGAGGACACAGCUUUUGAGGUACCAUCUUGGAAGCAG
rnacentral:lncRNA from 10 species